rnacentral:tRNA from 1 species
UCUCUGGUGGUCUAGUGGUUAGGACUCCUGGUUUUCACCCAGGUAGCCCUGGUUUGAUUCCUGGUGUGGGAA